rnacentral:rRNA from 1 species
UACGUAGGCAGCAAGCGUUGUUCGGAGUUACUGGGCGUAAAGGGUGCGUAGGCGGUCCUAUAAGUAUGGUGUGAAAUCUCCCGGCUUAACUGGGAGGGUGCGCUACAGACUGCAUGGCUAGAGUGUGGGAGAGGAAAGUGGAAUUCCUGGUGUAGCGGUGAAAUGCGUAGAUAUCAGGAGGAACACCGGUGGUGUAAACGGCUUUCUGGACCAUAACUGACGCUGAUGCACGAAAGCGUGGGUAGCAAACAGG